CUCAGAAAUAAACCUACCGGAAAAACCCUCGAGUUAAUGCAGAAAGCAAAACUUUUCAAAGGUCAACUGAACAAGAAAUGAAUCCCUCCCAACUGUCACGGUAAACUUCCUCGUUCACAAAGGGAAAAGAUAUGUCAAGCCUUCCAAGAUUAUCAAGGAGAUGAUGUUGAUCGCACUUGUCCCAUUUCAUCCCCACUUACCAAAAGAUAUCCAUUU